GAGAAAAAGGCUUAGCCAGUUUAUACAAGUAUAACAACCACCAAUAGUUUUGACAAGUAGGAACCAAGAGAUGAUUAGUAUUACCGUUACGGUCAUGCUCAUAACUUACUCUUCAUCAAUGGUCCCAUUGCCUUUGCCUUGUCCCGCAGCAGGUGCUUCUGUACUUUACCGGUAGCAGUCUUUGGCAAUGGCCCGAAAACAACUGAUUUUGGAACCCAGUAUCUAGGCAAUGUAGCCCGACAGAACUUCAUAAUAUCUUCUGCCAUUCUUUGUUC
rnacentral:lncRNA from 1 species